CCCAGUCUUCAUCUUGCUGAUAAGCAACAUAUAUACUCUCGGCCUGUCCGUAUUCCGAUUUAGUGUGAGAAAACUCUUGAAGCAAUGUUGUUCAUUAAGUCAGUCCUGAUAUUCUUUGUCUUGGCCGUAUCCUCGCCAUGGUUUCCUGGCAAGGCUAGUGCGAAUGACCUGGAAAUACCACCAGCCUACCUACCGCCACUGAAUUUCGACAUGCCCUAUAAGCCACCGGCAGAUGGAGCCACUUGGUGCUAUCAUGGAAAGAAAGUUGCCAUGUGCUUCGGACCGGAGAAAAUAUAUACUCCAUCAAAUUGUGCCAAGUGGAUAUAGAUACAAUAAAGCAGUUUUUGUGAAAUCGACUUACAUACACAUGUUUAUGAAUGGGGAAAGUUAAGAAACUAGCAUUAUGCAAUCGCACACCCCUGUCAGAUGAAGCUUAUUGUGGAUUGUACAUUUUUAAAUAACCUAUUUUCCUACUUUUUCAUCAUCUCCCCAUAUAUUUUUUUAACCGACUUCCAACCUGCCAUUUAGGCAAGCAAGUCAUUUUGGGCAUAAUUUUUUUCAUAUUUCUUUACAUAAUAUUGUGAUAUAAAUAAAGCAUAUUUAUGCCCCCUGUAACAUAUUGUAUACGCUUAUAUAAAACACUAACUUCCCGCCCACGCCCACCUGGUCAUGAUUGACUUAUGUUGGUCUUGAAAUAGAUGAAUUAUUAUGCUAUUAGUAUUGAAUAAAUAUUUGAUAUAUG